GAUGAACGCUGGCGGCGUGCCUAAUACAUGCAAGUCGAGCGAACGGACGAGAAGCUUGCUUUUCUGAUGUUAGCGGCGGACGGGUGAGUAACACGUGGAUAGCCUACCUAUAAGACUGGGAUAACUUCGGGAAACCGGAGCUAAUACCGGAUAAUAUUUUGAACCGCAUGGUUCAAAAGUGAAAGACGGUCUUGCUGUCACUUAUAGAUGGAUCCGCGCUGCAUUGGCUAGUUGGUAAGGUAACGGCUUACCAAGGCAACGAUGCAUAGCCGACCUGAGAGGGUGAUCGGCCACACUGGAACUGAGACACGGUCCAGACUCCUACGGGAGGCAGCAGUAGGGAAUCUUCCGCAAUGGGCGAAAGCCUGACGGAGCAACGCCGCGUGAGUGAUGAAGGUCUUCGGAUCGUAAAACUCUGUUAUUAGGGAAGAACAUAUGUGUAAGUAACUGUGCACAUCUUGACGGUACCUAAUCAGAAAGCCACGGCUAACUACGUG
rnacentral:rRNA from 1 species